GCCAGCUAGAAAAGACAUAUAACAACGAGGACACCGCUGAAAGAUCUCGAGCUUUAGACUAUAGUCACGCGUACGCAUGCGGCCUAAAUGAGUAACAAAGGAACUUCAUACCUCUAAACCUGUUGUGGCAGACUGUAAAAUCAGACGUAAUGGAACAGAUGGUACCAAUCUGCAUUUCUCAACACGUGUUUAUGAUUCUCUUUGGCAACGUCGUUAUGUGUCUUUUCUAUGUUGGCGCCAUGCAAGUGUCUCUUCGGUCCCUGAGAAGAAAAAGCGCAUUAGCCACUGUACGAUAAGACGAAGAAAAGCGAAGAGGACAAGACGAAGGAGAAAAAAACUCCUUGACAAGCGUUUCAAGUUAGGACAGCAAGGAAGGAUGCGGCAGGUGCUGCUGCUGAAGGACGAUUCAGGCUUGGAUGAACGUUUCCGGCAGUAACAGCAUCGAAUAAGACAAACAACGAAAGCAGGACGGCGGGCGAAAGCAAGCCUGGAAGCUGGACUGCAUUACGAAGGGUAUCCUACUCUCAAUGGUGUAACGACGAAAACCGUGCAAUGUCCUUAGCUUUCUUCCGUCGGAAGCUUGCCGGAAGACGGCGUGGAGAAACGCGAGAGACGGCCAGAAAAAAAUAAACAGGCUGACCGAAAUCUUGAACAAAGUGCUUCAUCUCGCGAAAAGAUAACGAAGCGACUAUGCUCGAGUGUGUUUGUGAUUUAAUCUAAAACAGCUACAUUUUCCUAUUAGAUAAAAAGCUUGGCUGCAUCGCACAGAGCCUAUAAGGGUGAUGAAAAGCGCUACAAGAAGCAAAGAGAUAAUGAGGGAGUGAUAAGCAAAGAUAAGCCUAAAGGAUGUACGCGAAACAACUAUGAAACCUCUAGAUAGACCUAGUGAUUAUCCGCAGCAGAGGGGGGUGAUAGACAUGGAAGAUUGGACUGGCCACUUGUUGGAUAUGUAAACUACUACAUUUAUGUAGGGGCAAUGCGCCUAUACAUCAUGCACGCAGGACAGUCACCAGCGGCAAUGCGCCUAUACAUCAUGCACGCAGGACAGUCACCAGCGAGCGUUUCCCAUUGAGUAUAGGUCACGCGUUUCUUCUGCACCACUGCAUCCACAGGGCACGCCCCUAGAAUCUUAUGAUUCUUCCCACUAAAAAAAUAGCCGACUGCACCGGUGAAUCAUUAAAGCGUGACGCGGCGUUCCUCCAGCAUAGCGCUUUCUAGAGCUACUUUCGUCCAAUGUUGACGUCAAGGAAGGAAUACAUUAUCGAGUCUCCGAGUUCCGGUCUGGUUGUAGAAGAUGGGUCCGGAAUAGUUUUCGCCCGUCUACAUCUAGUCACCCCAACACUGCUGCCAUUGCGGCUGCGCUCGCCUUCAAACAAAAGCGGUCGCCCAGUCGACAGAGGAGACGUUUGGAGUAGCCACUGUGGAUGCCAAUACAGACUGGACGAGAAAAACUAGAAAUGCGCAAAUAUGUACAGGUAAAUCGUUUGACUUGUCGCCAAGUAAGUUCUCCGCCGAGUCCACAGCUGCCGUUAGCAGUAACAAUCGUGAAAUACCGUAGUAACAACGUACAACUUCAAAAAGAUUGCUAGUACUAGAGG
rnacentral:lncRNA from 1 species